rnacentral:miRNA from 1 species
UCUUUAUGUCACGAUGUAUGAC